UACGUAGGUGCGAGCGUUGUCCGGAAUUACUGGGCGUAAAGAGCUCGUAGGUGGUUGUGAUAGUCAGAUGUGAAAUCCUUUGGCUUAACUGAAGAACUGCAUCUGAAACUUCACAACUCGAGUACAGGAGAGGGAAACGGAAUUCCCGGUGUAGAGGUGAAAUUCGUAGAUAUCGGGAGGAACACCAGUGGCGAAGGCGGUUUCCUGGCCUGAUACUGACACUGAGGCGCGAAAGCGUGGGGAGCAAACAGGAUUAGAUACCCGGGUAGUCCCU
rnacentral:rRNA from 1 species